GCAAGCACCAAGCAAAAAUCAAGUAAGUAAUCAUUUCCUUAAGCUUUGUGAAUGUUUGCUUCUUAUUAAUACAAUUAUAUUUAGUGCUUUGUGUUAGUAUUAUUUUGGUUGCCUUUCCCGUUAUUAUUUUUGGUGUUAUAAAUUAUUAAUCAAUCUUGGAGUUUACCACUGCGCUGAUAUCCAACAAGUGGUAUGAGAGCUGAUAUCCAACA